GAGUUUGAUCGUGGCUCAGGAUGAACGCUAGCGACAGGCCUAACACAUGCAAGUCGAGGGGCAUCGGGGGCGGAAGCUUGCUUCCGCCUGCCGGCGACCGGCGCACGGGUGAGUAACGCGUAUGCAACCUGCCCGGACCAGCGGGAUAACCCGGGGAAACCCGGCCUAAUACCGCACGGCGCCGCCGAGGGGCAUCCCUUGGCGGCUAAAGAAUCAUCGGGUCCGGAUGGGCAUGCGUGGCAUUAGCUUGUUGGCGGGGUAACGGCCCACCAAGGCGACGAUGCCUAGGGGUUCUGAGAGGAAGGUCCCCCACACUGGUACUGAGACACGGACCAGACUCCUACGGGAGGCAGCAGUGAGGAAUAUUGGGCAAUGGACGCAAGUCUGACCCAGCAACGCCGCGUGAAGGAAGAAGGCUUUCGGGUUGUAAACUUCUUUAAGGGGAAGAGCAGAAGACGGUACCCCUUGAAUAAGCCACGGCUAACUACGUGCCAGCCGCCGCCGU
rnacentral:rRNA from 1 species